UCUUUUCAGCGACUAAUUAAUACAGUGUCAGAAUUGACAAAUGCCAUCAGUUGUUUCAGAAACAGAGAGAAUUUCGAUGCUAUCGAAUCUCUGAAUUUAUUUGAUUAUUCUUCAGACAUUCCUGAAGGAAAGUAUCCUUAUAAUCAAAUUCGAUUUUGUCCUCAACUAUGAUGAAGUCUGGUAAUUUGCAUACGUUGCAACUGGUGCAAUGUUUAUAUGCAAAUUCUAGCACUUUGUAUUGAUAUGUACUGAGCUGUAUUGAAACCAUGGCUGAAAUCUUCACUGAUCUUACUUUCUAAAACAAGAUUUUUUGAUAAAAUAUUAAAAUAUAUUUCUAGAAUUUUCGAAACAUUUUUUAAAAUUAGAAAAUGAAUACUUUUAAUUGCUGAAAUUGUAAUUGUUCAGUUCUUUAUAUUU